GCCCUGGUGCUGAAACUGGCAGACAGGCACGUCUCAGAAGCGUGUGCCGCAAGGCGUGGAGGUUCAAGUCCUCUCCAGGGCA
rnacentral:tRNA from 1 species